AUCCCCGCCCACCGCGGCACCGCCCAGGUUCUCAGUUCUGCAGACUCCGCUGCAAGAUUCCAGAGCCUCAACCUCCAGCAAUUCAGAGCACUAGUCAACGAGUAGCAGCGAUGGAUUUGAGGACGCCAGCUGUGCAUGUUGGAGUCAAAACUUUGGGCUAGAAGAAGCGCUGGGCCAGCAAAGGCCGGAAGAACGAAUUCUUGAGAAAUCUCUAAGCGUCCUUGGAUGGGUUUCCUUGUCGGAAAGACUCAGACCCGGGAGGCUUCCGCACUAAUGUAUUCUGUGACUCUACGGGAAUGAACUGGGGUUUGCAAGCGUCUUACAAACUUAGGACGCUUUGAAGAGUUUUCUCUAAACUAGGAGUGAGGGUGACAGAAAAGAGGGAGAGAGAAAGAUUCGGGGAGAGCGCGGCGCAGACAAAAACAGAAACACAGAGACAGACCAAGGAAGACCUAGAGAGACUGGGCAUGCCUGUGUUUGGCUGUCCGGCUAGGUGAUUUCCAGCUCACGGAAUCCCUGACCUAGGAUGGGCCUGCUAGGUCCAGCCCUACAGCUUCCUCCCCCACGGAGAUGACCACACAGACUGACUCAGUCCUUCCUUCCACUCCCUGCCACUUCUUCCUGGAAAUUGCCCUCAUCUUGGGCCCUGACCUGAUCAGCCCUGGGGAAUACUGCCAGAAGUCCCCCACCCCCAAAGACUGGCCAGAACGAAGAGAUCAACAGGGAGUUCCUUUCCUCUGCACUGGGCUGCAGCCAGAUCUCCACUCCUUGGGAAUACAAGACCCUGAAAGGACUCCUGCCAAGCCCUGUCCUCCCCUCCUCCCUUGUCACCCCUUUUGGAGAACUUGACCAUCCAAGUUUGAGGUUCCAGAUGAGCAGUCAUCCAUGGAAUCACCCCUAGAUGGUGGCCUCUACCCUGGAGCCCUCCUUGGGAACUUGGUUUUAGGGGGACUUUCCUUUAGGUUUGAGUUUUGGCCUCUAGCCCAAUGCCAUGGGGGUUUUCCAGUUCUGUCCUAGUAGGGACAAGCUCAGGCACUUCCUCCCAGAAGCCUUUGGGAGUGUUCUGGCCCCAUGACUGUCAUUGGCCUAGGAAAUAAGUUACAAGAUGAGCAGAGCCUGCCUUCUGGACUUCCCGUGCCUAGGACUGCCUAGGUCCCUUGUUAUUGUCAUGAAAAGUCCUCCCAUCUCAGGCUGUUUCAACCCUCAGUCCUCCCUCCUCUAUCUGUGAGUGGUGGCAUUGCAGGUGUGUGCCAGCAUACCAUCCUAAAAAGACUUCUGUUUGUCUGUAUUUUGAGACAGGGUCUCUCUAUAUAGUCCUAGCUGCAACUCUAUAUGUAGACCAGGCUCUGACCUCAAACUCACAGAGAUCUGCUUGCCUCUGUCUUCAGAGUGCCGAUAAAGGUUUGAGCCACCAUGCUUGGCCCAAAAAGUCACUUUUGCAUGUGAUCUUUUGUUGGAGCCCCGGAGACCUUUAAGUUGUAGCAGAACUAAGUGGCAGUUUGAAUUGAAACAAUUUGAAUUGAAAAGUUAUUAUGAACAAACUGGUCAUGCAUACAUUGGUUCCUGGAACAGGCUAAACAUAAGGUGUUCUAUAAGAAAUAUUUCCUUCUGUACCCAGGCCCAGUACUUUCCAUUGCCCCUGUCAUAAUCCCCCGCCUUGCCUAAACUGCUUUAUAAAAAUGAGACCUUGCUAGCUAAUAAACGAAGCCUUGACGCAA